AUUGACAUGCAUGCUUGCCAGGAAGAAGAAACGUUAGUGCUGCAGAUGACAAGGCUGUAAAGUCCAAACCAAUAAGUUGGCCGGGUCUGAUAAUGCUCUGUUAAAAAGGAUUGUUGAGAUGUCACAUACAUAAAAGGUCGCUGAACUAAACAAGACAAGAAUAGUAAGGAACAAGGCCCUGACACAUCACUAUCAGAUUAAGGAUAAGCACAGUUAAUGAUCUAAAACUACCAUAGCACAUUGCAAAUACAAAUACAUCUCUCACAGAUCACAGUCAGUCUACAUGCAGUACCAUUAUCUAUGUCUCUAUGCUAUAACAAUAAUGGACAGUGCGGAAGAGAGUUAUAAGAGACCAGAGGGAAAUCCUCCGAAUGCAGGAUCCUCGGAUCGAGAUGUUCAUCUGGCAGCAAGGAAGGGAAUGGAUGCAAUUUCAUGAGCACGCUAUGAAAUGCAGGAGUGUCAUAAGGACCAUUAAGGCAUCCAUCAGGACCAUUCUGACUCACAAGGAACCAAUAUGUCGGCUGGCCACAGCCACUGCUCUAUUUGGCGGAUCAUCAAGCACUGUCAUGGCCAUGCAGCAGCAGCACCAUGUGACAAGUUUUCAGACAACCGCUUUUUUGGCUAUCAAGCAACAAAUACAAGUCCCGUUUUCUGGUCACGCUUGCCAUGCACAUAUACUAUAUUGUAUUAAUUAGCAGGCCAACUACUAUUACUUUUGUUGGCAAGACCCAUCGGCGCCAACGCUAUCAUCCACAUGUGCACAGGCUAUACAUUGGCCAUGGAGCAGUAGUAGAAGCAGAACAAGGAACGGAGAGGGAGAUGUCGUUGUUAGCUUGCUUUAAUUUUUAGCUAAGCCAAGUUCGUUAGCUGGAUGAGAUUUGUUACCUUUGGUUCUUGUUAAUAUUUGCCUUAUUUGGUCCCUGCUGUUCUGCAACUGCAAAGGCAAAAUCAUUUGUUCUGCAACUGCAGCCUCUGCUAUUAGGGAUGCAACCUCUACUAUUAGGGAUGGUGAUGUAUUAUAGCUCUCGUGCCUUUUUCACAAUCCAACUCAACUCUAUUUAUUUUUAGUUUAAAAUCAUAUAAUUUUAUAGCGCGGUCCUUAUUGAGCCCGAUCUUUAAAUCUGUUAGGCUAAAUUAGAUGGCUCUUUUAUCACCCUAGUUAUAGCACUUCUCUACACAAUGGUCAAUGGUGUAAGUUCAAAGUGAGAUGUUUAUUAAGAGCUUCACAUAUGGAACAACGCUUAAUAAGAUUGCAAAAGCCCAAAGAAAGAUGCAUGUCAAUUAUAUUAUUUUACCUCUGCAGGUGCACAAUGCGGCGAGGAAAACCAUUUUCCCCAUUGCGAGUUCCCCCAAUGCCUGGAGUGUUAUGAACCGUUGGAUCGGCAGGCUGCGGUCACGAUUCGAUACGUCGAGGUUGAUGCGGCAGCGUCGCCGCUGGGCCAAGCCCAUCCGUCUUUAUUUCCCUCUCGCUCGUCGCCGAUUCCGGCCGCCACCAAUCCAUUCAUGACCUGAUUACUCGAUCGCCGGAGAAGGAAACGGAGGAAUCCGACAUUUGGCCGGUGAAAUCGAUCUAUGGUUGGGGAAUUGCCCGCUCGCACACGACCGCUCCGAUUCGAAAUCGGACAUUUGGGGGAUCCGAUCCGAUGUCGUUGCGCUUGGCGGCCUUCUCCACCUUCUUCUCCUCCCUCCCUCCCUCUGCACAUCUGCAGCAGCAGCAGCACAUGGAGAGCGAUCGACAGCCUCGCUGCGGUGCGGAGGCGGCUUCAGAAGGCUCUUCACUGCCUCCAUCCAUCUUCUCUACCCCGG
rnacentral:lncRNA from 1 species